UACACUGAAGCAAUCAGCACGGCUCUGGUGAUGCCCUGUUAAAGUGUCACUAUGCGUGGGCUUCAGGGUUUGCUCAGGGAAGCCGCGAUAACCUUGACUCUCUUUCACAGGAUUCCAGGUGGAUUAGUCUGAGACCCACAUUCUUACGUUUUUCCAGCUGCAAUGUUUGCCUGGAGAUUCUGUUGUAUCUUCUACCAACUGCGUGGCUUCUUCCUGGGAAUUUUACAGAGAAGGUUCAAAGCCAUCUGUGACAUCCAGGGACUCUGAGAACAAAGAAUAAACAAAUCACCGGACACAGGGUUCACCUGCAUACCUUUUGGAAGAAGAAACACAUCGCCUUUCCUCGGGAAUUUUCCCAUCGACAGCCAGGGAUGUAACUUUGCUGAUGCCAUACUUCUGAGGGACUAUCAGAGAACAGUCAUACUGUUGGUUUUGAAAUACCAGGAACCGAAUUCAGAGCCCUGUGCAUGCCAGGCAACUGUUCUACCGCUGAACUAUACCCCAGGACCCUAAUUUAUAAUCUGUUCUGUUCACUGGUUUGGGUCUUAGACAUGUUACUAAAUCUCUCUCAUUCUAUCUCAGCCUUAGCUUUAUAAAACAAGACAAUGAUGAUGUCCUGAAAUAAAGUCCUCAGGGGGGAACGGGUGCACUGA